ensembl:lncRNA
GGUAAUGUUGUAAUACACAAUGUAUUAUAGUGGAGGUAAUGUUGUAAUACACAAUGUAUUAUAGUGGAGGUAAUGUUGUAAUACACAAUGUAUUAUAGUGGAGGUAAUGUUGUAAUACACAGUGUAUUAUAGUGGAGGUAAUGUUGUAAUACACAGUGUAUCAUAGUGGAGGUAAUGUUGUAAUACACAGUGUAUCAUAGUGGAGGUAAUGAAGCAUCUGUUCUCCCAGUGUAAUACACAGUGUAUUAUAGUGGAGGUAAUGUUGUAAUACACAGUGUAUUGUAGUGGAGGUAAUGUUGUAAUACACAGUGUAUCGUAGUGGAGGUAAUGUUGUAAUACACAGUGUAUCAUAGUGGAGG